rfam:Triticum aestivum genome assembly, contig: Triticum_aestivum_CS42_TGACv1_scaffold_591889_7BS
AUCAUACUCCCUCCGUCCGAAAAUACUUGUCGGAGAAAUGAAUAAAAAUAGAUGUAUUUAGAACUUAAAUACGUCUAGAUACAUCCAUCCGUGCGACAGGUAUUUCUGGACGGAGGGAGUAUGUC